CACGUAGGGCGCAAGCGUUGUCCGGAAUUAUUGGGCGUAAAGAGCUCGUAGGCGGUCUGUUGCGUCUGCUGUGAAAACUCGGGGCUUAACCCCGAGCCUGCAGUGGAUACGGGCAGACUAGAGGUAGGUAGGGGAGAAUGGAAUUCCCGGUGUAGCGGUGAAAUGCGCAGAUAUCGGGAGGAACACCGGUGGCGAAGGCGGUUCUCUGGGCCGGUACUGACGCUGAGGAGCGAAAGCGUGGGGAGCAAACAGG
rnacentral:rRNA from 1 species